UACGAAGGGGGCGAGCGUUGUUCGGAAUCACUGGGCGUAAAGGGCGCGUAGGCGGCCCUCCUUGUCGCGUGUGAAAGCCCCGGGCUCAACCUGGGAACGGCGCGCGAGACGGGGGGGCUGGAGUUCGGGAGAGGAGCGUGGAAUUCCCAGUGUAGAGGUGAAAUUCGUAGAUAUUGGGAAGAACACCGGUGGCGAAGGCGGCGCUCUGGACCGAGACUGACGCUGAGGCGCGAAAGCAUGGGGAGCAAACAGG
rnacentral:rRNA from 1 species